UGGGCUCCUCCCGCUGCGGGCCGCCCGCCCGGACGCAAGGCACAGGGGGACGCCCCGCCGAGCCGCUGCCCACUGCACCGAGUUUUUCGGAGGCUGGGAGAGGAAAUGCCACUUGGAUUUUAAAACCGUCACCGAUACGCUAUAGCCCUGCUUUCUCUACCUCCAGUCGUUUUCUGAGGACCGGCUUGGUGGGUGCUGAUGCCUGCCUGGAAGACCUCACACCCACAGUGUCUUAGAAGAUUCUGAAAGCAGUGUGAGACCAGAAUGACCAGCAAAGGAGAAAAGAACAAGGACACAUUGCAGCCAAAAUGGAGCUAGAAUCUUGCCUCUGUCCAUCCUUCACUGGAGUUAUCCUGGAUGGAGAAGGAACCAUAUCACCUGCAAAGCCUGGAAGGGGAGCCCUGCUGUGAGCGAUCCAGUGUUCAAGCUGGUCAUCAGGAGAAAGCUACUUAUGAUUUCCUAACAAGCCACCACAGAACAUCACAUUCCCAAACAUGCUCUUCACCGUCCCUGCUGUCCCCACGUGCCUAGCCCUGGUGUGGGCAGGAAUGAGUGGGAUUGGGAUGUUUUCUCACAGGUCUUUCUCAGGUGAGGCCCCAGGCUGUGACCAGGCCCCUGCCCUGCAUGUGACUCAGGCCUAGCCCCUGCUGGGGCAGGAAUGCCACCCAGCACAGCAUCCUACUGGUGCCUGAAUAAAGAAUGGACUGGAGGUUCACCUGAAAGGGGCUGCCAGGUUUCUGCGGGGGCCAGCCAACGGCUCACAAUGACCCUGUGUUCGACUCAUCUUACGAUGAAAUUUUUCAGCUUGACGAACUUUUACUCAUCUUUCAAGGCUCGGCUCAAAUGUUAUUUCCCUGGGAAAACUGCGCUACUUUCAGCAAAAUGCAUUUCCUUUUGAUGGGCAUCUGUUUUUUUCUUUCUUUCUUUCUUUCUUUUUUUUUUUUUUUUUUUUUUUU
rnacentral:lncRNA from 1 species